GCCUGAGUAUUCGGUUACUGAUGGAUACUGGAAGGGGGAAAACAAUACGCUGAGAAGACCUGCAGGGUACAACUUCCAGGAAAUGGGCAGUGGUGGAGGAGUGAUGAGCAUGCCACAUCACAACUGGUCAACGGUCCGAAGGGAAAGGGAAAGUGUUAGGAAAAUCAGCAGCUUUCCGGAAGACCAGAGGGACUAUCCAGCGUAUUCCACAUAUCAGUAUGAAUAUGAGGGGAGGGGCAGUGACUGUCAAUCACUGGAUCAGCUGACUGUUAGCAACCUUGGGGAUAACCUGGACUUCCUGCAGAACCUGGGGCCAAAGUUCAGCACUCUGGGUGGGAUCUGUCAACAGUCAAUGGAGCGCAGGAACGUCCGGCUGUGAAAGUGGGUGAUGAUUUGAGGCCUUAUAUCGCUCCACAUUUUUACAAUACUUGUUCCAGGGUUGUUGCUGGUGUUGUUUUUUUGUUCUUUUUUUUUGUGCUGUGAUUUUUUUAUUUUUUUUUUUGAGGCAGUGCUCUAGGCCAUUCUUGAAUUUGAGCGCCAUGACACCUGUACAGGCACAGGAUGAUUAUGGAUAUAAGCUAUGAACAUCACAUCUUCAGUGCUAAGACUGCCUGGCCUCAAGGAAUACACUGUGCAUUUGUGCUCAUGAUGGAUGUGUAAAGAAGCAUGUUGGGUGCUUGAAAUAAAAACUUGUGUCUGCAUCCCACCAGCUUGUCUGAAAUGAGGCGGUUGGUGGCUUGGACUGUUAGUUUUGGCUGUGACCAGUUUGAUGGCCUGAUAGGCUGCCAUACUGUUCAAAUCUUAAGAUCCUUUUUUUUAUUCUGCAAACACAAAGCCACACAUCACUACAACAAUUAUUUAUGCUGGUAGUGUUUGUCUGGACUUAUCCUGUACUUGCUGCCUUUAGCUAUCAUACUGUUUUGUACACUUUAACUUUGCACUGCAGUAUCACUUGUAUAUUUAAAGGGUCAGUCCAACCAAAAAUGACAAUUCUAUCAUUUAUUCAUCUUCAUGUCAAUCCAACCCUAUACAGAAACUUAUGUCCACCAUGGAAUAAAAUUUAUACUGCAAUUGUUUCCUCACCAUUGAAAUUUUUUAUCUCACAAUUCUGACUUUUAUUUCUCAAAAUUCUGAUUUUACAUCUUGGAAUUCUGUUAU
ensembl:lncRNA